rnacentral:rRNA from 1 species
GCUAUACAUGCAGUCGAGCGAAUGACGAAGAAGCUUGCUUCUUCUGAUUUAGCGGCGGACGGGUGAGUAACACGUGGGCAACCUGCCCUGUAGAUUGGGAUAACUCCGGGAAACCGGGGCUAAUACCGAAUAAUCCAUUUCCUCACAUGGGGAGAUGUUAAAAGACGGCAUCUCGCUGUCACUACAGGAUGGGCCCGCGGCGCAUUAGCUAGUUGGUGAGGUAACGGCUCACCAAGGCGACGAUGCGUAGCCGACCUGAGAGGGUGAUCGGCCACACUGGGACUGAGACACGGCCCAGACUCCUACGGGAGGCAGCAGUAGGGAAUCUUCCACAAUGGACGAAAGUCUGAUGGAGCAAUGCCGCGUGAGUGAAGAAGGUUUUCGGAUCGUAAAACUCUGUUGUGAGGGAAGAACAAGUACGAGAGUAACUGCUCGUACCUUGACGGUACCUCAUUAGAAAGCCACGGCUAACUACGUGCCAGCAGCCGCGGUAAUACGUAGGUGG